CGGUGAAUACGUUCCCGGACCUUGCACACACCGCCCGUCAAGCCAUGGAAGCUGGGUGUACCUAAAGUCGGUAACCGUAAGGAGCCGCCUAGGGUAAAACUAAUGACUGGGGCU
rnacentral:rRNA from 1 species